GGGAAAUGAACUGAAAUGCUGAGGAAAAUUGCAGAACUUGGGCUUUAUGAGAUUGAGUUGAACACAACAAAUCCUUAAUUCUUAUUUGGAGCUGGGCUUGAUGAAGACCAAUUCUACUGAAAAUCUGACCUUCAGCUAGUCCAGCAAGUGGGUGCUUUAAAGAUUCCUAUUGAAAACAAGAUAUAUUUCGUUGCACUAUAUCAGUCUCAAGAUCAAACAUGUGAUUUAAUUCAGCCCAGCCAUCCAGAUUGAAAGAUUUACUGAUUGUCAAGUGGGUUUGCCUUCAGCAUCAGGCAUCGGGAACAGAGACGCUGCGAAGAGGGCUGGCUUUCUUCCACAAAGGUGGAUCUCAUAGAUCAGGGCAAGAUCACCCGCUGGGUCUUCUCGGGUUGCUGCAUGAUGUUCUAACACAAAUCUUGCUGCAAGUUCGCCCCGGGAGUCUUCACUGAUGGGCUGGCUCUCAGGUGGCUCAAAUACCUCACAUUACAACUCAAAAAGGAGCAAGAAAUGUCUGCCAGUCCUAGGCUAAGACUUAUCUCUCAAUAAACAUCUGAAAAACAACUUCUGUGGGGGAUAACACAGCGUGGAGCUGGAGGAACACAGCAGACCAGGCAACAUCAGAGGAGCAGGAAAGUUGACAUUUUGUGGUGCCCUUCUUCAGAAAUGGGCAAACGGGGCUUUAUUGAAUUCAAAUUCACUGCUGCAUUUGCUACACUACAAAUGUUCACCUUGCUAAAAGCUUCUUUUGACUGUAUCAAUGAUUCAGCACUGCAGGCGGUGUUGGUUAUGGUAGUGGUGUCCCAAGGCACUGUGCAAAUUCAAGUUCUUUCAUUAUUUAAAUCAUCAAUCCAGAGUGAUUUCCAAAGAUGUACUACCUCUGUUGUAAUAAAUUACCUUGU